UACAGAGGGGGCAAGCGUUGUUCGGAAUUACUGGGCGUAAAGGGCGCGUAGGCGGCCCGCUAAGUCGAACGUGAAAUCCCUGGGCUCAACCCAGGAACUGCGUCCGAUACUGGCGGGCUUGAAUCCGGGAGAGGGAUGUGGAAUUCCAGGUGUAGCGGUGAAAUGCGUAGAUAUCUGGAGGAACACCGGUGGCGAAGGCGGCAUCCUGGACCAACACUGACGCUGAGGAGCGAAAGCCAGGGGAGCAAACGGG
rnacentral:rRNA from 1 species